rnacentral:misc_RNA from 1 species
GAAUAUUAGAACAUGUGUUUACACAGUUCGACCCUCCACUUUCUAACUCUGUGCAUUUUAUUGGCGGUGACAACGUUAUGUGAUUAGAGCGGUAGUUCUCUUCUAAACGAUGUCAUUGCGGCUUCAUUUUAUAACACUAGUAUAAGUAUGUAACGAAAUAUCGAAAUAAAAAAAAACUUUCAACAACGGAUCUCUUGGCUCU